GAGAGCACACACGAGCCCUGCUUGUGUGACAGAACUAAACAUUCAAACUUAGCCUCGUUUCACUUUAGAUCUAUGGUAUUAGUCUGAUUUUAUUUUAGAUUUCGCCUUCCAAAGAUUAUAAAAAGAAUAUUUAUACAUAAGCCGCAUUCUGUCUAGCACAACUUCCUUCCCUUCACAGCGGUGCAAUGACAUUUCUUUCCGUUAAACUUAACGUCAGAAUCAGCACGAUCGGUGAUUGUUGUAAAAUGCAGUCUAGCUACUGUUGCUAAAUUGCGGGAUGCUUUAAUUAUAAAAAGAGCGCAAGAGAUACCGUUCCCAAGGCGGCGCACGCUCCGAAACGGACCGCAAUGAGACAAGCAAAGUAUAGGCUACUUUGGGUUUCAUGUGCGUCUAUUAACUAUACACAAAGAUAUGUCAAAACGAUCGGCUUGGAGAUUCACUUAAACACAGUUUAUGUCUUAAAUGGAUGUAGUUAUGGAAAUAGCAUCAGGAUAUGGUGCAUCAGGAGCCUAUUAGAUCUGCACUCAGUCUUCAAGGGGAAGCAGUCUAAUAAACAUGUGACGAUUGAGCCAUUACUGCGAAUCAAACAACAAAAGGCAAAUAGAAAAUCACUUACAGUUCUUGAAUGAAUAACUUCUGCAUUAAUCAGCAUUAAUCUAUCUAUGAUAAACUAUGCAGUGUUAUUUUACAAUUGAUUACUUUAUUAGAUUUCUUUUUAGACCACACCUGAACAGUAAUGUUAGUAGACCUUCCUGAAAUUAAAUCACUGUGCCUAUAUAAUGUUUAUCUUUUGUUUCUCUAUUGUUUAUCUUUGUUUAAUAUAUAUAUAUAUAUAUAUAUAUAAAUAACAAAAAGAUCCGUUAAGAAUACUGUUAAAGUACCGGAUCGAUAAGCAGUAUCGGUAAGAGUAGUAAUACCAUUAAAACCUUAACGAUGCCCAUCCCUAGUUAUGCCUGUGCUUCUCUUGGAUGCUCUGAAUAUUGGAUUACGUGUCUGGAUUGCCCCUUGAUUAAAGCUGCAUUUGGAUUUCAACCUUAGUGUCUCAGAGCAGUUCGUAACACCUGCUUUGUUUAUUUAAUAUAUAUAUUUAUACAUUAUUUAUACAAUAUGUUUUUACAUUAUACAUUUUUAAUUUAAGUGUACAAGUGCAGAUUGGUCAAGUGUUCAAUAAAUGUAUUUGUUGAGAAAUUGUCUAUCUUAAGUAAUUAUUUGUUACAUUUUAUCUUUCAAAUAAAAGGUUCAAAUAAGAGGUUAAAAACAAGCGCAUAUCGGCCAAAAUAAAUCGGCAGCAUUUAUCGGCCAUCGGCCGACCCGGAUUUCAAAAGAUCGGCAUCGGCCUGAAAAAACCAUAUCGGUCGACCUCUAGUGUGUGUGUGUGUGUGUGUGUUACAUAUUACACACUAUUUAAAAUUAAUACACUGCUGGGUAUGGGGUACCGUCUUGAAUAAGGUGUGACCAUGGGGGAGAAAAUUAUGCUGUUCGCUUGUUCAUGAACAUUUACCGUGGAUUAGAAAGAGGAAGUGCCAUCCGGGGCAGAAGUGUCCAUAACCAGUGGAUUGAGAGGCUUUGGGGAGAUCUCUGGAGAGGUAUGACUAAUGUGUACCACCAGAUUUUCACCUUCCUUGAAAAUGAUAGAAUCAUUGACCGUACCAAUGAGCUGCACUUGUGGGCACUGCAUUAUGUUUACCUGCCACGGAUUAACCGGGACCUUGAAGUUUUCAGGGAACAAAGGAAAAUCCAUGGCUUGCGCACUGUUGGCCACCACACACCAUAUCAGAUAUUUGUUCAAGGAUGUCUUCAGAGGCAAACACCACCACUCACAGCCAUGGCAGAGAUUUUUGGAUCCAACACUGCUCAAGGUGCUGCUGCUGCAAUUCCUGCUCUGAAUUGGCAAGAAAGAGUAACAGUUCCUGCUAACCAAUUCAGUCCAAGACAUGCACAGAUGCAACAACUCCAGGAUGUGGAGACACUGGCAGGACCGAUUGGUAGUCUAGCCAUAGAUGCACUCCAAAGUGUAAUUUACAUUUUGGAACAGUAUUUUUUUUUUGUCAUGCCAUGCCUCUGUGGUGUUUCUUUGUAUCUCUCUCCCGCCGGUGGGACCAGUUAGUCUCUCCGUGUCAGCUAGAGGAGAUACCGGUCCAAAAGGCAACAGUAGACCAGCCUGCUCGCCUGCUGUUGAGGGGUGAGUAAUUGACCAGUUCAUCUUCAGUCUUUACCAUCCUCUUGGCUCUCUUCUCCACCUCGCAUACUCCCAUGUAUAAUAACAGUGGCAUUUAUGCUCUUAAAAUCCUAAUCGUUCUUAUUUUUGGUGAUGACAUCAACAGUUGUAUAUUUCUCUCUGUGUCUCGGCAAAGAGACUGGCAAGAAACUGUUGUACAAUCAAGGGAAGAUAACAUUAUAAUAGCUGCACAGUGUCUAGUGUCUGAAAGAAAGUUAGCUCACAAGGAUUAACUAGUCCUACAACUUUACUUUUGAUCAAAAGUUUUUGUCUGUUACAUGAUGACAAAGUCAACUUUAAUUGUAUAACUCAGGGAGUACUUGCUGUAUUUUGCCUUGUUUUUGAUGCACUUUAAUGUACUGUAUGGAAAAGAUGAUUCUUUAUGAAAUACUUUAUAAUUCUGAAAUUGAGAGGUCCUAUUUUUUUACUUGAAAGAAAAAGCUAAUGGAGCACUUUUAUUUAUAACCAUUGAUUCAUAACCAUUAAUAUUUUGUUAGUACUUAGAGUGCAGUGUUAUGUUGCAUCAUGCAGUAAAAGUACUGAGUAAAUGUGAUGUUUGUUACCUCAAUAAAUUUAAGGUCAUUCCUGUUUUAUUUGUGUACAUUUUAAUCAUUAACAUUAAAAGCACACUCUUUUUACGACUGAAAUAACAAUAAAGGGUAAAAAAAAACUGAAUUCGCAAAAAUUAAAACGGAAAAAACGGAAUUUUCAAAAAUUAAAACGGAAAAAACGGAAUUUGGGAAAAAGAAAACAGAAUUUGGGAAAAAAUAAAACGGAUUUUAUAGGGCCCUAUAUAUCAAUUAAGACGAAGUUGAUCUUAAAUUGUUAAAAGUGUUUCCCACCCCAAGCACCUGGUUAAAAUCAGGAAAUUGUCAUUAUUUUACCAUUUCAUUGGGAUUAAGGGUAUGGGCUAGUCUAGUAUUCCCCCUGCUGGUCAUAAUCUACAUUCAAUAAAAAUGUUCAGAGUAGUUUCAUGUUUUCCAAAUACAUAUUUAUUACAAUGGUCUGUAUCCUAAACCAACAUUUAGUGAGUACCACUGUUGUAACUGCAGCCACACAAUUGUUGAUGUAAUGAUAUAAAACUAAAGAUUGAUGAAGGGUGUAAAAAGCAAGAAUGUCCACUGAUGUGUGUGGUUUUUUUUUUUUAUCGAAAGAGGUAGUAGUGGAGCAAAAGGAGGCAAUUUAUCUUUAUGAAAAUAACUUAUAACUUUACAAUUUAUUUUAAGUCUUAAAACUGCAAUACAAAUAUUUAAUUUUUGUAGGCUACACACAAAAGAAAAGGACCAAGAAAUUAGAGGAUCCUUAGUAUGUUAAAUAGUGGCAGGCAAACCCCCCAGGCUUACAGAAAUGGUUUAACCCUACUACUCAGCAGCCAAUGGAAAAGUACAACACUCACCCCUUCAAACUGGACAAGUGGCCAAAUGGCUCAGAAUCACAUGAAAUCAACCAAGUGUGCCGCACAAGCCCUCAAAAGUGAAGCCAAAACGUCUCGAUCGCCCCACGGUGACUGGUCCUAGUAUAGGUCAUAAACCCCGCCUCCCCAUGUUAUUCAACAGGACGUGAGACCAACUAAACUAUUAAAUUACACUUCACAUAUCUUUUUUUCCAAAGAUAGUUUGUCAUUUACUGUAGUUUCUAUCAUGUUGAUGUAAUUUCAAAAUAAGUUUGUUUUUAGUUAGUUAUUUGAUGCUAUAAAAACGGUGCUGUGACAUCAUGAUUGACAGCUGUGAUUGACAGGUUCUCUGAGCAAAGUAGUCACUGAAGCACCAACAGACUUUUUUCGGGAUCUUCGGAGGACUGAGGAGAUUGGAGCUUUAAAUUUAGUAUCUAAAUUUCUAUAAUUAAUUAUUUCACACCGUCAUAAGUCAAAAGUGCAGGGGCGUGUGCUUGCGAUUGAUUCAGCGAGAGUGAGGGCGGGGCCUUGAUUUUGCAGCUUUACUUCCUGCUCACUACUGCACAGGUCUGGUCACGAAAUCGCAACUGCGCAGACUCAAGUCCCAAGAUGUCAGCGCCAUAUCAGGACACUGGCGGCUUCAGUUCUCACCAAUGGAAAAGAGCGAUUGGGCGUCGUCCAUCUUUUUUUACAGUCGAUGAAAUCAUCACGUUGUCAACGCGUAGAGAAACCAGUAUCAGAAGCUCCAAAUGUUUAAGGUUAUAUGCACUGAUUUUAGGUAGUUAAAAAUAAUAUGAAUAUAGGCUACCUAAUUUAUUAUAAGUGUUCUGAUGCACAGUUAGUUAAAUGUAAGACAUAAUCACAAAUUGUGUAAUUAUAAUAAUUUACUGAGAAUCCAAGCAUAAUGUAUGUCUCUUAAGUAACUACAGCCAAUAAACAAAAUGGUGUAACGUAUAGAAUUGUUGAUUUAACAUUAACUCAUGUAAGGUUGUUGAAUUACAUUUUUAGUUUGACAGGCAUUAUCAUCAGAAGUGGAAUCAGCUGCAAGGGCUCUUAUUGAUGUGUUAGCCAGGGGCCUGGCUCCAUCUUCAGCUAGUAGCAUUGGUACAUCAAGGAGUGUUAAUACACCAACAAGAGAAAAUGUGCGAAUGAGUGGGACAAGUGCCAUUACUCCUUUGCCGUCUGUGCCAGCACCAGAAAAUAGGGUGAGGCAGGCAUUAAAAAGGCAGUUCCCAAGUAUGUUUAGGACUGAAAAAGACCAUCCUAAGGGGAAAAAAAAAAUUAUCUUUGGCCAAACCUGUCAAUGUGAAAAAAUAUAUGUGCUCUCCGAACCAACAAUGUUUACUCCAAAAGGAGAUCAAGACUUGGAACUUGUAUGUGCUGGGCUUGGGAAAAGGCUGUUAAGUGUUCCAGACACCUUUAAACACAGUGAGAUUGUCACUCUGCUUGAGGAAGAAUUUCCUAAAUUAAAAAAUCUUCAGGGAGGCUGGAUGUUUUACAAAUCUACAGAAAUCAGUAAAUGAUGUGACUGUGCUUGAUGAUGAUGAUGAUGAUGAUGGAAAUGUUAUUGGAGCCAUUGACCAGCUCAAGCCCACUUCAAACAGAUUUAGAACAAUCUUCCCAGAUCUGUCCCAUUUGCCAGAUUUCUUUCCCAAAUGAUGUCUUGCCUUAUCAUGCAAGCAUUUGAGAGGGAGGACUUUCAGUGGCAGUGAUUCUCCAAGCACUUCAACAAGAGAAGAACUGCCAGGAGCCUCAACUGCACAGUCAUCCACAUCACUAUCAGCAGCAUGGAAAUACGAAACUGACCCUCAGAAAGCAUCUCGAAUGUUCUGUGCAGAAUUGCUUUCCCAAAGUUCGGACUGUCCAUCUAUGUCACUACAGAUCAACCAAUUUGAUACUUUGGAUGAGCAGGACAGUACACUGAUUUUAUUUUAUAAAAUGAACAGUGUUAACUGGUCAGCUCCAUUGAAAUGUAGAUUGACAGGAGAUGCAGCUGUUGGCAAAGGAGUCAAUCGUCACAUCUUUACAUUUGGGUACUUGGACGUGUUAAAAGCCAGAUUAAAGAUCUCAUUAAAGAUCAAAGGUCUCAAAGAAACUGGUAUCUGGCCACUACUAUCCCAAAGACUUGGCAGUCACCAAGUAGUUUUCCCAAGGGAGUCAGAAAUGGACAUUACAGCACAAAAAGUCCUUCAGAAAAUUGCAUGGCCCAAGCCUGUGGAUGAUGAUGAGGACAAUGAUGACUGCAUUGCUGUUGAAAUAAUGAGCAUCAUCACAAGCUACAUGCGACGAUUUAUUGAAGAAGCAUAUCCAAACAUGCUGAGUGACCUAAUAAAGUUCUGGGUGGGAUGGGAGGUGCCAGAAGAGAACCUGGUUUUGGAAGUGGUGACUGCCAAAUUCUCUGUUGCUCAGACGUGUUUCAAUAUGUUGUGCCUUCCCUGUCACUAUCAGAGCUACACCACAUUCAAAAUGGAUAUGGUAAUGUGCCUACAAUCUGUAAAUAGUGGAUUUGGUCUCAUUUAACUAGAAGAGAUAACAGGGGGCAGUGUGUUUAGUAAUGUUCUUAAAUUGCAAAAAGGAUUUAGCCUAAGUUAAGAGUAAAGAAGACAAGAGGCUAAAGUGUUACAAACUUUUACAGUGUUUUAAACUUUAAUCCAAUUUUUUUUCAAGUUGGUAUACUCUUGAAUGUCUUUUAACACAGUUAAAACCUGUUUGUUAGUAAAAACUGUUAAAAAGCAAUGUCAAAGGAAUAGUUCACUCAAAUGUAAUCUGUAGGAUUGUUUUUUUAGAUUAACCUUAAACAAUUUUUCAUACUGCAUAAAGUUUUAAUGAUAUGCACACCACAUGUACAUGUCAAAAAAAUUUAGGAUACCAAUGUUGAAAAAAUGUUUGGCACAUGUUGGUAAACUCUAGUAGGUGUAUAAAAAUAAUGUUAUUUUCUACCAAUAAAUAUUGUACAGUGGGUAAAUAUGAAAAAUGAAAGCUCCACACCUACAGAUUAAGCAGGGUGAACAACAAGGCAAGAAACCGUAAAUGGAAUCUGACAUGGACUAACUUUCAGUUAAACUCUCAACAUACUGGACCGUGCUAAGAUUGAGGUCUACUCCAUAAGACUCAGAAUGUUGCAUGAGGUUGAUGGUUUCUAUAAGUUGUGCCAUUUCAUCAUCUGUCAAUGAAAUGUCAAGCACAGGAAGAUGCACCCCAAGGUUUGGGUCCUCCAAGUAUCCGCUAUCCUCCAGUUCAAUGUUGGGUAUGGCUACAUUCUGAAGAAAACAAAUUUCAUAGAUAAUUUUACUUUUUUUAAAAACUUUUACACAUUUAAUAUUUGCCUCCAUUUUACGUGGAUGCCAAAUUUACCUCUGGAUCCAUAAUUGGGUUUUGGAACUGGCCCACUUGCCACAACUGAAUGGGUGUUAGAUUGUGUUCUGUUCUUAUGGGAUGGUUGUCCCACCCCUCAGAAAAGACAUCCAAGCUGGCCUGGAUGUGUGGCAGUAACACAUAAUGACAGCUGAAUAAAUGGUAGGAGUUGCUGAUAUCCAGCAGGUGACUGUCCUCCAAUGUGUGCAGAAUGUUGUGGUAGAUGCUUGUUACCCCUACGAAUAAAUCACGCCAGAGACGCUCUAUUCUGUAUAAAAAGAAAGAUAGUAUUUAGCCUAGUACAACCAGCAUUGAUUAAGCACACCAUAUAUGACUUGAAUAGGUUAAAGUCUAUUUGGCUCUCUCAUGAAACAAGCUGAAAAAGUGAAGAUCAAACCUGUUCUAAAGUAAACCUUCAUGUUCAUGAGUUUGUGUGAACAACAUUUACAUCUGCUCCUGAUCUAAAGUAAAUUAUAAGACAUCAAUAUUUGAUGCCCUUUGUCCAACUGUAAAACACUCCCAUUUGUCAGUUAUUGGAACUUUCACUCAUGGAUUAAAUUAAUCAUGACUUCAUGUGAAUAGUGAAUUUAUACAUUGGUAACUAAAAACUAUGGAUUUCUAAUGCUGCAUCCAGCAUGCUAGGUGUCACUGGAGCGUCUAAACAACAUAAAACAGUAACACUUGCAACUUAUGGUGAACCCAUAUAGUAGGGGGAAAAAAGUGAGAAUAGUAUGUCCGAAUUCAUACUAUUCAUAAACAGGUUAAAAGCACCCAGAUUACCUACUAUUUCUGCUGAGGUGUACAUUUAAUGAACACUUCACUAUCCCAUGAGGCCAUGGGAGAAGAUUUUUGAUUGGGCAGUAAAGCAAUGCCACUGACGCCAUAGCACACUAAAUGUGGUAUGUUCAAAUUCCAUUUAUACUACACAAAUUUGUACAAUAUAGCAAAUUUUUAAUGGUCAUGAAGAAUUUACUCAAAAGAAGUACAUAAUCUGAAUGCACCUUUAAUGCUGUCAGAGCACUAACAUAAAGUGAAUUUAACUCUGAUUAUGCACACUUUUACCGGCGAUGAAGCUGUUGUCAUCAGUGCCAUGAACUGAAAACUUUAGUUCUGCAAUUCCCACAUGUUCACCGCCAUGAUCUCCUCUCACUCUGCAACAAAAACAUCACACAUUUUGAUGGGUUUCAAUUAUACACAAUUAACUUAACUUUACCAGAUUAUCCAGAAAAGUACAAAAGUAUGUGAUAAAAUAAUAGACAAAAAUAAAUGUUUUGCAACUUAAUAUUAAUUAAUACCUCUGUGGAAACCCAUGUGUAUUCACUGCCUCUGAAAAAUGCCAAAUGGGUGUCUGAGCGGUUGUUGUCUGAAAUCUUCAGGUACAUAAUCUGUUGAAUAUAUUAAAACAUCUACAGCUGAAGAUAGUACAGUAGUAGAGAGAGAUGUUUCUGUACCAACAGAUGACAGUAUUAUUGGGGUUCAAGCUCUUGAAGACCUUUAUCGCUUCUAUUCUGUUUUGGUCUAAGCCAACCCGAGAUGUAUGGCUGACACCAGAACACAUCCAUGAUGGAGAAUUCACAAACACACACAGAAAUGAAAGGGUUAAACUAUAAUAUUUAAUACACACCAAGCAUACUUACACACACACACACACACAGGUUGCUUCUCAAUUCUUAUUUGUGCAUCAUCGUUUCCUUUCGUCACAUCUCAGCUACUCCCCCUGUAGGAUGCGAGGAAAGGCUGCAAGGAAAGUAAAUGAGGACGGAGGAAUCGAAGGAAAGUUUAUUUAUACAUUGGAAUACUCGAUCAUUUGAGCGUCACAUAUAUCACAUCAACAGCGCUCAAAGGAUCUGCCCUUAUGUUGUUGAAGUUUGGUUAUUUAAGAAAUUCAUAACAAAUAAUAAUAAAG